rnacentral:rRNA from 1 species
UACGGAGGGUGCAAGCGUUAUCCGGAUUCACUGGGUUUAAAGGGUGCGUAGGUGGCAGGUAAGUCAGUGGUGAAAUCUUUGGGCUUAACCCGAAAACUGCCAUUGAUACUAUUUGUCUUGAAUAUUGUGGAGGUCAGCGGAAUAUGUCAUGUAGCGGUGAAAUGCUUAGAUAUGACAUAGAACACCAAUUGCGAAGGCAGCUGGCUACACAUAUAUUGACACUGAUGCACGAAAGCGUGGGGAUCAAACAGG